rnacentral:lncRNA from 1 species
CAAUAGUGAGGAAGGAGGUGUAAGAAAGCAAUAAAUAUAGAGAAAAAAAUAAAUAUAAUUUGGUAAGUAGUAAUUAUUGUUUAACUAAUUUUUUUAAAAUAAUUUUAGUAAAAAGCAUAAUGGUUCACUUAGAGGUACAAGAAGAAGGGUUGGAGGUAAAAGGAAAAGCAUAAACUAUUUUAAAUCUUCCCUUCUUUUAUAUUGUCU